UGGAGAGAUACCUUAAAGAAGAUCAAGAACCUGAACAUGAUGAUUUUGAUGUCUUAAGUUGGUGGAAAGUUAAUGCUCCAAGAUUUCCUAUUCUUUCAGAGUUAGCUCGUGAUGGAUUGGCUAUUCCAAUUUCAAGUGUCGCAUCAGAAUGUGCAUUUAGUACCGGUGGGCGUAUUCUUGAUCGAUUCAGAAGUUCUUUGACUCCUAAAUGUGUGCAAUCUCUUGUUUGUGCUCAAGAUUGGCUUAGAAAAGAGCCUAAUUCUAUUUGUGUGGAAGAAAGUUUGGAAUAUCUUGAGAAACUUGAACUUGAAAUGGCAAACAGUGGAAGGGAUUCUUGCAUUGUUGAUGUAUGAUAACAAUUUGCUCUUUUGCUAUUAAUGGUUCAAGUUCAACCAUAUCUCCUAAAGCUCGCUCAUUUGUUUUGAUUUUGAAAACAUUGUGUGGUGGUUCAAGACAACAAAGAAGGGUGUUGUGACUUGUGACUGUGUUUACUGUUUUGUGGUGUUUUAAGUUUUGUGACUUAUGUUUUAGAAACAUUUGGAAAGUCUGGUAGUGUUGUCUGCUAUUGCUACUCUGCUUGUAAAAAAAAUAGUUGUUGCCUUUUGGCUGGAGCCUUGAUGUUAGCAGGCAACAACUAUACAAAAUUUGCA